rnacentral:SRP_RNA from 1 species
UGGGGCAAGUCUCUUGCGACCAGCUCCCGCAGAACCCCCCAGGGCCGGAAGGCAGCAAGGGUAUGCGGUUGUAGCGGUGCGACAAGAAUCGCUUGCCCU